GACGAACGCUGGCGGCGUGCUUAACACAUGCAAGUCGAACGAUGAAGCCGGAGCUUGCUCCGGUGGAUUAGUGGCGAACGGGUGAGUAACACGUGAGCAAUCUGCCCUUGACUCUGGGAUAACUGCGGGAAACUGUAGCUAAUACCGGAUACGACACCUUGGGGCAUCCCAGGGUGUGGAAAGAAUUUGGGUCAAGGAUGAGUUCGCGGCCUAUCAGCUAGUUGGUGAGGUAAUGGCUCACCAAGGCGACGACGGGUAGCCGGCAUGAGAGGGUGACCGGCCACACUGGAACUGAGACACGGUCCAGACUCCUACGGGAGGCAGCAGUGGGGAAUAUUGCACAAUGGGCGAAAGCCUGAUGCAGCAACGCCGCGUGAGGGAUGAAGGCCUUCGGGUUGUAAACCUCUUUUAGCAGGGAAGAAGCGAAAGUGACGGUACCUGCAGAAAAAGCACCGGCUAACUACGUGCCAGCAGCCGCCGCCG
rnacentral:rRNA from 1 species